rnacentral:lncRNA from 1 species
GAUGGUAUACGGAUAGUGUGAGUGAGCCUCCAACCGUUCCCGAUUUCCGAGCUGGCUUGUCAAAACUACAAGGAAUGAAAAGGAGGGAGUAAGCAUAAAUGCUUAAUAAGUUCACAUGCAAAUAGCAAGUAACAUAACCAUAUAAGCAAACAUAAAACAUCAUUUGGAUAAUCAUCACCAAGACAUUCAUAUCACAUUUUCAUUUAUCAUCUUACCAUAUUGUUGUUAUAUCGAUUUUUCAACCCGAGGGUUAAGUACAUACCUGUUCAAAGUACCCAUUUCACAACACUUACCAAUACGUCCCUUUCAUCUUGAGUAUUCCUCCAUUUCAGUAGAACUUUACCCGUUGAACACAUCGGAAUAUAAUUCGGAUACAUGGAAAGUUUGCACAUAAAUGGCACAUAUGUAGCCAAGCUACCAUGUAACCCGCCCAUAAGUGAACUCGGACUCAACUCAACGAGCUCAGGCGUUCGCAUCCAAAAGUGAACUCGGACUCAAUUCAACGAGCUGGGAUGCCUAGUUACAUCUCUCGAACUCGGACUCAACUCAACAAGUUCGGAUACCCAAAUAUCCCAGUGACAUGUCACUUGUAUCCUAAUCCAUUCCUAAGGUUCAACAGGACAUUUUUCCCAAUCAUAUGUCUCAACCAUCUUCUAUGGAAUGUCGAUACCGAUACUCGGUAGUAUUUCACAUUUUCCAAGUAUAUCACAUAAUUUGACAUAUUAUCAAACAAUUGUCACAAGUAUGAUAUUUCAUAAUAAUUAUCAUAUCAUUUAAAUAACAUUAAAACAUUUAAAACAAUGACUAUGUUACCAACAUUUACAUAUGAACUUACCUCGUAUGCGAAAAUGACUACUUUUACCAUUUCGUCCACAACUUGGUAUUUUCCCCAUUUUAGCCUGAAUUUCAGUUUUCCUUGCUAAUCGAGCUUGGAAGCUUGAAAAACCCUAGCCAUGGUUUCUCCUUGCUAUAUU